UGGGGAAUUUUGGACAAUGGGCGCAAGCCUGAUCCAGCAAUGCCGCGUGCAGGAUGAAGGCCUUCGGGUUGUAAACUGCUUUUGUACGGAACGAAACGGUCUUUUCUAAUACAGAAGGCUAAUGGCGGUACCGUAAGAAUAAGCACCGGCUAACUACGUGCCAGCAGCCGCGGUAAUGCGUAGGGUGCGAACGUUAAUCGGAAUUACUGGGCGUAAAGCGUGCGCAGGCGGUUUUGUAAGACAGAGGUGAAAUCCCCGGGCUCAACCUGGGAAUUGCCUUUGUGACUGCAAGGCUUGAGUGCGGCAGAGGGGGAUGGAAUUCCGCGUGUAGCAGUGAAAUGCGUAGAUAUGCGGAGGAACACCGAUGGCGAAGGCAAUCCCCUGGACCUGUACUGACGCUCAUGCACGAAAGCGUGGGGAGCAAACA
rnacentral:rRNA from 1 species